rnacentral:rRNA from 1 species
CCUACGGGUGGCAGCAGUGGGGAAUAUUGCACAAUGGGGGAAACCCUGAUGCAGCGACGCCGCGUGAGUGAAGAAGUAUUUCGGUAUGUAAAGCUCUAUCAGCAGGGAAGAAAAUGACGGUACCUGACUAAGAAGCCCCGGCUAACUACGUGCCAGCAGCCGCGGUAAUACGUAGGGGGCAAGCGUUAUCCGGAUUUACUGGGUGUAAAGGGAGCGUAGACGGCGGAACAAGUCAGAAGUGAAAACCCGGGGCUCAACCCUGGGAGUGCUUUUGAAACUGUUUGGUUGGCGUGCAGGAGAGGUAAGCGGAAUUCCUAGUGUAGCGGUGAAAUGCGUAGAUAUUAGGAGGAACACCAGUGGCGAAGGCGGCUUACUGGACUGUAACUGACGUUGAGGCUCGAAAGCGUGGGGAGCAAACAGGAUUAGAUACCCCUGUAGUC